GCGGCGUUGCCAUGGCGACCGCGGGGCAGGCGCUGGCCCUGGCGCUGGUGGCCGCGCUCUGGGGCGGUACCGGGCCGUUCCUGCGGGCGGCAGCCGCGGGCGUGGAGGAGCUGCGGGGCCGGGGCCGCCUGCGGCAGCUGCUGGCGGAGCUGCGAUUCCUCAGCCUCAACUGGCAGUACCUGGUGCCCUUCCUGCUCAACCAGGCUGGAUCUCUGCUCUUCUACCUCACCUUGGCCUCCACAGACCUGUCCCUGGCAGUGCCACUCUGCAACUCCCUGGCUUUGGUUGUGACCUUGGUGACUGGGAAAAUCCUGGGAGAGGACAUUGGGGGGAAAAGAGCUGUGGCAGGAAUGCUGCUCACCAUGCUGGGGGUGUCCCUGUGCCUGGCUGGGGCCUGAGGCAGCAGCAGAGGCUGACCCAGGGCUCCUGGCCCAGCCCCACCUGGGCAGGUGUUUUGGGAUGGAUCCCAAACAAAACCCAUGGAUUGCACCCCCAGGGUGGCCCCACUGCAGGGACAGCAGCCAGGUGCUGUCACAUCCCUGUCACGGUUUGGGAAGUCCCAGAGGUCCUGUCCUGUCCUGGCCACCUCCCCCUCAGCCAUGGACACACCAGGAGAAACCAGCGAGCCAGGCAAGAACAGCUUCAGCAUCAGGAAAAGUUUUUUUUUUUUA